UACGAAGGGGGCUAGCGUUGCUCGGAAUCACUGGGCGUAAAGCGCACGUAGGCGGAUUGUUAAGUCAGGGGUGAAAUCCUGGAGCUCAACUCCAGAACUGCCUUUGAUACUGGCGAUCUUGAGUCCGGGAGAGGUGAGUGGAACUGCGAGUGUAGAGGUGAAAUUCGUAGAUAUUCGCAAGAACACCAGUGGCGAAGGCGGCUUACUGGUCCGGAACUGACGCUGAGGUGCGAAAGCGUGGGGAGCAAACAGG
rnacentral:rRNA from 1 species